GUUCUGGCUCAUAUAGGAAGACCCGA
rnacentral:rRNA from 1 species